rnacentral:rRNA from 1 species
CUACGGGCCGCUCCAGCUAGGAAACUUCUACAAUGCACGAAAGUGUGAUAGAGCAAGCCAGAGUGAUUCCCUCUAUUUGGGAAUCUUUUAUGCGAUGUAAAAAGUCGCAGGAAUAAGGACCGGGCAAGACUGGUGCCAGCCGCCGCGGUAAUACCAGCGGUCCAAGUCGCAAUCAAUUUUAUUGGGUCUAAAACAUCCGUAGCUUGUGUGGUCAGUCUCUUGUGAAAUCCUGUGUCUUAAGCGCAGAAGUGCAAGAGAUACUGCCAUGCUAGAGACCGGGAGGGGUACGGAGUACGAUUAGAGUAGCGGUUAAAUGCGUUGAUCCUUUUCGGACUCACGAUAGCGAAGGCACCGUACCAGAACGGAUCUGACAGUCAGGGAUGAAGGCUAGGGGCGCAAAACGGAUUAGAUACCCGAGUAGUC